rnacentral:tRNA from 1 species
GGGAGAAUAUACCGUAGUGGUAGCGGGACUGGCUGUAAACCAGUUGCUUAACGGCUCGGGUGGUUCGACUCCAUCUUCUCCCA